GUUAUAUAUACUACCCCCAAGACAGACAAAGCAUGUGGAGCUAGUGUGGCUGAGUUCCUGCCUCUCCCAGCCUGUCUUAUGGUGUUACACGUGUGCAUCACAAUAGCUCCUCCCCCAUAAGGGCUCAGAGCUAUGAAUGACAGUGUGUCUAGAACACCUCGCCCAGGGCCUGGCACGGGGCAAGAGCUCAACCAAUGGUGAAUGGUUGUGCUCUAAAUAAAUAACCGUGUCAGAGCACAGUGGGAAUCAAUUCAGCUUCGUGAGUCCUCUGUGACCUCAACAGCAUUGUUCCAGACCACGUGACAGAGCAGAGAUGAGGCCUUGCUAUGUCACCAGGCUGGCCCUCCCACCUCAGCCUCACGAAGUGCUGAGACUGCAGGCAUGAGCCAUCAUGCUGGGACAAUUUACAUCUGUUAAUAGAAGAAACCAACUUAUGAAACGUACUCGGCCCUAACUCAGGGUGAGCUCGCCUCGGAUGGCUUUUGGGAAAACUGUCUUCAGCUCUACAUGCCACAGGGAUUUCUAGACAAUCACCCAAGAGCAAAACUUGAGCUCCACGGAAGACGCACCACCAACGCCCUAUUCCAGAUGAGAAGAGCAGAGCACGGAGAGGUCAGGAGACCCACCAAGGCUGGCUUGUCUCAAACUCUUGGACUCAAGUGAUCAUUCCGCCUCGGCCUCUCCGUAGGACUGCGUAGUGUGGGCAGUUGUGCAAGACUCUGAGAAUGCCACCGCAUCAGGCCCUGCCCUGCGCUUUAUAAGAUGCUCCAGUUUCCAUCACUCGACCUGACCAGGCACCUUUAAAUGUCCACACUCAAGACCUGACCCUCUCAAGCGCCUGAAGUCAAAGACAUCGUUUGUCCUUAAAAAACAAAAUUCCUCCCAUAGUCUGAAGCCAUGAAAGGUUCUGGCCGCCUGGACGCUUAUUUGCUUUCGACAGUUCUGUCGUAUGUGCAGCUUUUGCUGUGAGCCACCUCAAAUGCUCUUUUGGAAGUAGGUGUGGUAUAAAUAAUAAAUAAGUGAGUGAAUAUCUGGAAGUGUGGCUG
rnacentral:lncRNA from 13 species